GAUGAACGCUGGCGGCGUGCCUAAUACAUGCAAGUCGAGCGAACGGACGAGAAGCUUGCUUCUCUGAUGUUAGCGGCGGACGGGUGAGUAACACGUGGAUAACCUACCUAUAAGACUGGGAUAACUUCGGGAAACCGGAGCUAAUACCGGAUAAUAUUUUGAACCGCAUGGUUCAAAAGUGAAAGACGGUCUUGCUGUCACUUAUAGAUGUAUCCGCGCUGCAUUAGCUAGUUGGUAAGGUAACGGCUUACCAAGGCAACGAUGCAUAGCCGACCUGAGAGGGUGAUCGGCCACACUGGAACUGAGACACGGUCCAGACUCCUACGGGAGGAAGAAGUAGGGAAUCUUGCGAAAGGGGCGAAAGCCUGACGGAGCAACGCCGCGUGAGUGAUGAAGGUCUUCGGACCGUAAAACUCUGUUAUUAGGGAAGACCAUAUGUGUAAGUAACUGUGCACAUCUUGACGGUACCUAAUCAGAAAGCCACGGCUAACUACGUG
rnacentral:rRNA from 1 species